UACGUAGGGUGCAAGCGUUAAUCGGAAUUACUGGGCGUAAAGCGUGCGCAGGCGGCUUUGCAAGACAGAUGUGAAAUCCCCGGGCUUAACCUGGGAACUGCAUUGGUGACUGCAUCGCUCGAGUAUGGCAGAGGGGAGUAGAAUUCCACGUGUAGCAGUGAAAUGCGUAGAGAUGUGGAGGAAUACCGAUGGCGAAGGCAGCCCCCUGGGUCAAUACUGACGCUCAUGCACGAAAGCGUGGGGAGCAAACAGG
rnacentral:rRNA from 1 species